rnacentral:rRNA from 1 species
CGGCCGCGGUAUUUUGACCGUGCAAAGGUAGCGUAAUCAUUUGUCUUUUAAAUGGAGACCUGUAUGAAUGGCACAACGAGGGCUAAACUGUCUCCUUUCCCCAGUCAAUGAAAUUGAUCUCCCUGUGCAGAAGCAGGGAUAUUAUCAUAAGACGAGAAGACCCCAUGGAGCUUAAGACUUUAGCAGCCCAUGUAAAAAACUGGCCACCCCCAAGUUAACAGUCUGGCCCCUGCUUAAUGUCUUUGGUUGGGGCGACCACGGGACAAGAGAAAACUCCCAUGAAGAAUAGGACAACCCCCCUUUAAAGUAGAGCCCCAGCUCUGUUUUUCAGAAUAUCUGACUAUCAGGAUCCGGCAAGGCCGAUCAACGGAAUGAGUUACCCUGGGGAUAACAGCGCAAUCCUUUUUUAGAGCCCAUAUCGACAAAAGGGUUUACGACCUCGAUGUUGGAUCAGGACAUCCUAAUGGUGCAGCCGCUAUUA